AUGGGAGGAUUCCUCUCCAAACAUCACCACCUCACUGCAGUCCACGAUGCCACGUGUGGCCCAAUAAAAGGUGUCGGAUAUGAGCAAGAAGACGGUUCAGUGGUGGAGGGGUUCCUUGGAAUCCCGUACGCCGAGCCACCAAUUGGAGCCUUGCGCUUUAAGAAGCCAGUUGCUCAUCGGAAAUGGACGGAGCCGCUGGAUUGUGUUAGGUUCGGGCCAAGGAGUCCGCAAAAUGAUGAGCUACUAGGGCAGGUGAGGCGCCUAAAUCAGAGCAAAACUCUGUCAUUUUUAUAAUGUUCAGUUUGUGAACACAGUCGGGAAAAGUGAGGAGCACUGUCUCAGCCUGAACGUAUUCACUCCAAAGUGGGAGUCAAAUGAAUGGCCCGACGGCUUCCCAGUGAUGGUCUUCAUCCAUGGCGGAGGCUUCGCUGUUCACUCAUCCAGCAACUACGGCUGCGCUUCCAUCGCACGAAACCUUUGCACCAAGGACGUCGUCGUCGUGACCAUUAACUACCGCCUCGGCGUCCUUGGAUUCUUCACCACCGGCGACGAAGUGUGCCGUGGAAACCUUGGACUUUGGGAUCAGACUGCCGCACUCGAGUGGGUUCAGGAGAACAUUCAAAGCUUCCGAGGCGACCCUGAUAAUGUUACAAUCUUUGGCCAAAGUGCAGGUGGAGCAUCUGUGGAUCUGCUUUGCCUAUCGCCGCACUCGAGGGGAUUGUUCAAUCGGGCGAUUCCGAUGGCAGGGAAUGGAGAAUGUGAUUUUGCGAUGCGGACUAGUGAGCAGCAGGCUCAGUUGUCGAGGGAGUUUGCGAGAUACCUUGGAUGGGAAGGAGAUGACAACGACAGUGAAGACCUUCUCCAAUUCAUCGACCAGCAACCCCUUUACAAGAUCGAGAUGGGCAUAAACCCGAAAAGAGGAUUCAAGCAUUCCCAGGCUGGAAGCUUGUAUUUUGUGCCAAACUUUGACGGCGACUUCUUCCCGAAACCACUUAACCAGCUUAGAAAAGAAGCUCCAAAGAUGCAAAUAAUGACAGGAACCACCAAGUACGAGGGUCUAUUUUUCAUCGCCCUCGGUGCCUUAUCGAAAAAUCCGGAAGGAAUUAAAAAGUUCAUGGGAAGAAUCUUUAAAGAAUGCGACUAUGGAGAGCGUGCUGACGAUGUGCUGCAGAUGGUCUACGACUUUUAUUUCAAGGGGGUACAUCCCAAGGAUCAUGAGAAGAAUAUGCAUCAGAUUGUGAAGUUCAUUGGAGACUAUUCUAUCAACUAUGGUACAUACCGUCUGGCUAACAUUAUGACGGAUCUUCAACACGAUGUAUACUUCUAUCAGUUUGACUAUCAUAACUCUGCAGGAUUCGGAGUGUUCCGGUGGCUUCUUCCGUUUUUGGGCUCCACACAUUGCACGGAAAUGAGAUAUGUGCUCGGCAAAGGAAUAAUCUCGAAAUUCCGACCAAAUGAUAAUGAUAAGAAGAUGCUUCACGUUAUGACAACUUAUUUUACAAAUUUUGCAAAAUAUGGAAACCCUAAUGGAGAAAACCAGGAGACUGGAGAAUGGCAAAAGCACGACUCGGCACACCCGUUCCGCCAUUUCAAGAUUGAUCUGGACGAUUCUGAAAUGGUUGAGGACUAUCAGGAACGGAGAGCCGAGCUAUGGGAUAAACUGAGAGCAUUAAAUGUUAGCAGGGCUCAGAUGUGA
rnacentral:misc_RNA from 1 species